AAGUGAGAAGCAAAACUUGCAAUCAGUUUCGACCUGAUCUUAGAUAAAACAACUUUAUCCUCUCUUU
rnacentral:tRNA from 1 species